CGCGCAACAAACGACACCGCCCUUUAAGCUAGAAGAAAGAAGGGUUGUACUUAUCAACAGGUAUCAUAAAGCAGCCAACAGAGGUACGGAUUCCGGGGCAUUCUUUUGUGUCCCAUAUGGCUAGAGAAUUGGGUGAAUCGGGGCGGAACCUGUGUUUCAAAGAGGAAGAAAUGUGGGAUCCCUGGCUGGGAAGGAGAGGAAUGCAGUGGAGUGAUGGGUCCUGCUGUUAUAUGGGAAAAGGGCACAACAAUUAUGGCAGAUGUCCAAAUGUGAAUAGUACAGGAAGCAUUACUGCUGAUAGAGGGCGAAUAACCAGAAUGUGUCAAGAAAAGGAACAGAAAGUACAGUGCUUUCAACUGAGAUAAUCUGUUGUAGACAUUACAGCAAUACACAAAACAGUCUACAAGUAAUGAACCAAAAACAGCCAGAAGAGAUGGUUCAAAUGUAGACAGAAUUAACUUUCCAGUACAAAGUAAAGAUCCAAAAAAGUGUCACCUGUUUACUUGUUGGACUUAUAUGCAGAUUACGUCUUUGUAGAGCAACUUGAGUAAGGUCUGCAUUUAUUGAAUUUCUGAGUCUCUUAUUUUCUUUGCCAGUGGUUUGAAAUGUAACACAAAUAAGAAAGGGGAAAGAGGAUACCCCUGUCUCAUUCCUUUUUUCAGACACACCAUAUCAGAGAAAAACCCUUGCCUCCAAUCCCUCAUAUCCUCCUAAAUAACCUUAUUAUUGUAUCAGGGAAUGCAAAUGCUUCCAUUGCCCUUCUUUCAUCUUAUUCUGUCAAAUACUUUUUCUGCAGUAAGACCUACCAACAGUAUCGGUAUUUUCUUACAUCCUGCUUCCCUCUGGAUCAUCAUUUUUCUAUUAAUGUUCUCAAAUGUUUC